GACGAACGCUGGCGGCGUGCCUAAUACAUGCAAGUCGAGCGAAGUUUUUCUGGUGCUUGCACUAGAAAAACUUAGCGGCGAACGGGUGAGUAACACGUAAAGAACCUGCCUCAUAGACUGGGACAACUAUUGGAAACGAUAGCUAAUACCGGAUAACAGUAUUUCUCGCAUGAGAGAUAUUUAAAAGUUGGUUAUGCUAACACUAUGAGAUGGCUUUGCGGUGCAUUAGCUAGUUGGUGGGGUAAAGGCCCACCAAGGCGACGAUGCAUAGCCGACCUGAGAGGGUGAUCGGCCAACACGGGACUGAGAACCGGGCCAGACCCCCACGGGGGGGCGGAGUAGGGAAUCUUCCGCAAUGGGCGAAAGCCUGACGGAGCAACGCCGCGUGAGUGAAGAAGGAUUUCGGUUCGUAAAGCUCUGUUGUUAGGGAAGAAUGGAUAUGUAGUAACUAUACAUGUAAGAGACGGUACCUAACCAGAAAGCCACGGCUAACUACGUG
rnacentral:rRNA from 1 species